rnacentral:rRNA from 1 species
AUUGAACGCUGGCGGCAUGCCUUACACAUGCAAGUCGAACGGCAGCGCGUCCUUCGGGAGUGGCGGCGAGUGGCGAACGGGUGAGUAAUACAUCGGAACGUGCCCGAGAGUGGGGGAGUAACGCAGCGAAAGACUGUGCUAAUACCGCAUACGAUCUCAGGAUGAAAGCAGGGGACCGCAAGGCCUUGCGCUCACGGAGCGGCCGAUGGCAGAUUAGGUAGUUGGUAAGGUAAUGGCUUACCAAGGCGAUGACGGGUAGGGGACCUGAGAGGGUGGCCCCCCACAAUGGAACUGAGACACGGUCCAAACUCCUACGGGAGGCAGCAGUGGGGAAUAUUGCACAAUGGGCGAAAGCCUGAUGCAGCAACGCCGCGUGAGCGAAGAAGGCCUUUGGGUCGUAAAGCUCUGUCGGGUAGGAAGAUAAUGACGGUACUACCCGAGGAAGCCCCGGCUAACUACGUG